UUAACAUUGCAAGUGGAAAAUUGCUAGCAGCUCCUUAGUUCCCUAUAUAAGAGAAGCAGAGGCAGCCACUCAGAACACGAGUUCAAAGAAAACAAAGCCAUCUCACCUUUUUAAUUCAUCAAUCUCAACUAAGAACAAUCCGAUCAUCACAAAGGUUGCAAAAUGGGAUCGGGACAAAGUUCGGAGAGCUCAGACGGGGGAAAUGACAGGAACCCUUCGUACAACUUAGGUGCAAUUGCUGCUGGUGCUGCUGCAGGAAUUGGCGUACUGGCUUGGGGUUUAUCUGAACUUGUUUCAUCAGCUGGUGAGGAAAAGAAGAAAAUGAUGAAAGCUCCUGGAAAAGAUAAAAUCAUAGAGAGGGAAGGGUUUGAGCGUGAUCCUAAAGGCUAUUUCAGAGGCUUGCGCAAUAAGUAGGAACUUCUCUUGAACGUUAAACAUAUGAGAUUAUGCCUUUACUAUUGUUAAUCUAUGUUUUGUUAUUAAACUAUCCGAAUGGGAACUUGCAGCUUGUUGUCUUGUAGAUGGGGAUUACUGUUGUUUCAUAUGGUGAUUAGGGUUUUUGCUUCUAUUUUAAUUUCUGAUGUUUAUCAUCGGUUUAAUGGUAGUCGAGUUUCAAAA